UUGAAACACCAGUUCCUGUACGAUCAUCAGAGUUAAGCAAUGUUGAGCUUUGUUAGUACCAAAAUGGGUGACUGCUUGGGAAUAUCAGAUGCUGUAGG